AUUGAACGCUGGCGGCAGGCCUAACACAUGCAAGUCGAGCGGAGCGGCGGACGGGCGAGUAAUGCCUAGGAAUCUGCCUGGUAGUGGGGGAUAACGUCCGGAAACGGGCGCUAAUACUGCAUACUAUCAGAUGAGCCUAGGUCGGAUUAGCUAGUUGGUGGGGUAACGGCCGACCAAGGCGACGAUCCGUAACUGGGCUGAGAGGCUGAUCAGCCACACUGGAACUGAGACACGGUACAGACUCCUACGGGAGGCAGCAGUGGGGAAUAUUGGACAAUGGAGGAAAGCCUGAGCCAGCCAUGCAGGGUGUGUGAAGAAGGUCUUCGGAUGGUAAAGCACUUGAAGUUGGGGGGCGUUAACAACAGAAUAAGCACCGGCUAACUUCGUGCCAGCAGCCGCGGUAAUAC
rnacentral:rRNA from 1 species